rnacentral:rRNA from 1 species
GGGGAAUCUUGCACAAUGGGGGAAACCCUGAUGCAGCGACGCCGCGUGAACGAUGAAGCCCUUCGGGGUGUAAAGUUCUUUCGACAGGAACGAUAAUGACGGUACCUGGAGAAGAAGCUGCGGCUAACUACGUGCCAGCAGCCGCGGUAAUACGUAGGCAGCGAGCGUUGUUCGGAGUUACUGGGCGUAAAGAGUGCGUAGGCGGCGAGCCAAGUUUGGUGUGAAAUCUCCCGGCUUAACCGGGAGGGUGCGCCGAAAACUGGUUGGCUGGAGUAUGGGAGAGGAAAGCGGAAUUCCUGGUGUAGCGGUGAAAUGCGUAGAUAUCAGGAGGAACACCUGCGGUGUAGACAGCUUUCUGACCAAAACUGACGCUGAGGCACGAAAGCGUGGGUAGCAAACA